ACAUGUUACACAUAUUCCUUGCCUA
rnacentral:siRNA from 1 species